AGCAGCCGCGGUAAUUCCAGCUCCAAUAGCGUAUAUUAAAGUUGUUGCAGUUAAAAAAGCUCGUAGUUGAAUUUCGGAAUCAGUACGUUGGUCGUGCCUUAGGUACGUACUGGUGUUACUGGUUUCUACCUUCUGACGAACCAUCAUGUCAUUCAUUUGGUGUGGCGGGGAAUCAGGACUGUUACUUUGAAAAAAUUAGAGUGUUUAAAGCAGGCUCGCGCUUGAAUACAUUAGCAUGGAAUAAUGAAAUAGGACGUUGAUCCUAUUUUGUUGGUUUCUAGGAUUGACGUAAUGAUUAAUAGGGAUAGUUGGGGGCAUUAGUAUUCAAUUGUCAGAGGUGAAAUUCUUGGAUUUAUUGAAGACUAACUACUGCGAAAGCAUUUGCCAAGGAUGUUUUCAUUAAUCAAGAACGAAAGUUAGGGGAUCGAAGACGAUCAGAUACCGUCGUAGUCUUAACCAUAAACUAUGCCGACUAGGGAUCGGAUGAUGUUAUUUUUAAUGUACUCAUUCGGCGUCCG
rnacentral:rRNA from 1 species